AUAUCCUUUUUAAAAAUACUUAUUUUAUUAAUUUUAUACAUUUAAUUUAAUCCUGUAAAGAAAUAAUUAGAAUUUUUUAAAAGAAAUUUAUUAUUCCUUUUGUAUCAGGAAAUUUUAAUUUUUAUUUUAACCAAAAACAUCCUGAAAAAAGGUGAUCUACUAACUUGUUUUAUUAUUGUAUCAAAAAUAUUGUUAAUAAACUAGUAGAAAUUAAACUUUAUCCGAGCCUUUUGAUAUCCGGUUUCUUUCAACUUUUAAUAAAAAAUUAUAUUUAUAAAGAUAAUUUUAUAAAAUAAUUUUCGUUUAAAGAAUAAUUUGUAAGGAAUAAAAGUUUCCAAAAAGUUUCAUAACCUUCUCUAUAUACUCUUUAUAUAAUAUUAUUAUAAAGACUUUUUUAACUCUAAAUAAUGAUAAUGAAAUUAUUAGUAAAACUGUUAUUAAAGAUUUAGGAAUUAAGCAAAAUAUUGAAUGCCUGUUUACCAAAAACAUCUCUUACUUAUAUAUUUGUAAGUAAUACCUGCUCAAUGAAUAUUUAAAUAGCCGCGGAAUUUUAACUGUGCUAAGGUAGCAUAAUCAUUAGUCCCUUAAUUAGGGACUUGUAUGAAAGGUAAAACAUUUUAAUCUCUUUCUUUGUCCUUAAAUUUUAAGUUAAAUUAAGAAUAAAAAUGUUCUUAUUUUUAAAAUAGACGAUAAGACCCUUUUGAACUUUACUGAUGUUUAGCUGGGGCAGCUAAAUAAUAAUAAUCUUACUUUAUAUAUUUUAUUAGAUGACCCAAAACAUUUGAUUAAUAGAUCAAGUUACCAUAGGGAUAACAGCGUAAUUUCUUUUUAAAGCUCUUAUUAAAAAAGAAGAUUGCGACCUCGAUGUUGAAUUAAUGUCUCUUUAUAGUGCAAUAACCUUAAAAGUAGGUCUGUUCGACCUAUAAAACAUUACAUGAUUUGAGUUCAAAUCGGUGUAAACCAGAUUGGUUUCUAUCUUUUAUUAUAUUUGUUUAGUACGAAAGGACCAAUAAAUUUAUUAUAAAU
rnacentral:rRNA from 1 species